rnacentral:rRNA from 1 species
UACGGGGGGAGCAAGCGUUGUUCGGAUUUACUGGGCGUAAAGGGCGCGUAGGCGGCCACCGCAAGUCGACUGUGAAAUCUCCGGGCUUAACCCGGAAAGGUCAGCCGAUACUGCGGGGCUAGAGAACUGGAGAGGUAACUGGAAUUCUCGGUGUAGCAGUGAAAUGCGUAGAUAUCGAGAGGAACACCAGAGGCGAAAGCGAGUUACUGGACAGAUUCUGACGCUGAGGCACGAAAGCUAGGGGAGCAAACGGG